rnacentral:rRNA from 1 species
UAAAGUAUUUAAAUAGAAAUAAUUUUAAAAUUUAUAGGGAAAUAGUAUUGUAAAAGAAUUUUGAAAUAAGUGAAAAUAAAAUUGGUAAAAAGUAAUUUUUAUUUAGUGUAUCUUGUGUAUCAGAGUUUAUUAAAAAAUAUUUUUUGAAAAAAAAUUCUCGAAUUUAAGAGAGAUAAUUAAUUAUUAAAGUUAUUGUAAUAUAAAUAUUUUAAAUAAUUAAUUGGAAAUGAAAUGUUAAAUCGUUCUUAAAUAUAUCUAGUUUUUUUAGAAAAAAAUUUAAUUUUAAAUUAAUAGUUUAAUUUUAUUUAUAAAUUAAUUUAUAAAUAAAAUUAUUAAUUUUAUAUAUUAAGGGAUAAUCUUUAAUUUAAAUAAAUAUAAUUUAAAUUUUUUUUAUUGAAAAUUAUAUAAUUUAUAUUGUUAAUAAAAUUUAAUUUAUUAUAAAUAAUUUCAUUCAAAAUAAAAUUUAAUUAAAAAUUUAUUUUUAUAUAAAAAAAUAAUUUAAAAUUUAAUAAAAUUAGAUAUAAUGAUAAAAUUAGUAUAUAAAUUAAAUAUAUAAUAUAAAUUUAUUAUUUAAAUUAAUUGAAAGGAAUUCGGCAAAAAUUUAUAUUCACUUGUUUAACAAAAACAUGUCUUUUUGAAAAUAAUAUAAAGUCUAAUCUGCCCACUGAUUUAUAAUAAUUGAAGGGCUGCAGUAUUUUGACUGUACAAAGGUAGCAUAAUCAUUAGUCAUUUAAUUGGUGACUUGUAUGAAGGAUUGGAUGAAAUAUAGACUGUCUCUUAAUUAAUGUGUAGAAUUUAAUUUUUUAAUUAAAAAGUUAAAAUAAUUUAAAAAGACGAGAAGACCCUAUAGAGUUUUAUAGUUGAUUUUAUUUUAAAUUAUUUAUAAAAUUUAUUAAUUUAAAUUUUUUUUAAUUAUUUUAUUGGGGUGAUAGAAAAAUAAGAAAAACUUUUUUUAAUAAUAAACAUAAAUAAGUGAGAAAAUGAUCCAAUUUUAUUGAUUAUAAGAAAAAAUUACCUUAGGGAUAACAGCGUAAUUUUUUUUUUUAGUUCAAAUAAGAAAAAGAGUUUGCGACCUCGAUGUUGGAUUAAGGUAAAAUUUAAAUGCAGAAGUUUAAAAUUUUGAUCUGUUCGAUCAUUAAAACCUUACAUGAUCUGAGUUCAAACCGGUGUAAGCCAGGUUGGUUUCUAUCUUUUAAUAAAUGAAAUAUUUUAGUACGAAAGGAUUAAAUAUUUAAAUUAAAUUUAAUUAUUAGAAUAUCAUUAAAUAA